GACGAACGCUGGCGGCGUGCUUAACACAUGCAAGUCGAACGGAAAGGCCCUGCUUUUGUGGGGUGCUCGAGUGGCGAACGGGUGAGUAACACGUGAGUAACCUGCCCUUGACUUUGGGAUAACUUCAGGAAACUGGGGCUAAUACCGGAUAGGAGCUCCUGCUGCAUGGUGGGGGUUGGAAAGUUUCGGCGGUUGGGGAUGGACUCGCGGCUUAUCAGCUUGUUGGUGGGGUAGUGGCUUACCAAGGCUUUGACGGGUAGCCGGCCUGAGAGGGUGACCGGCCACAUUGGGACUGAGGUACCGCCCAGACUCCUUCGGGAGGCAGCAGUGGGGAAUAUUGCACAAUGGGCGGAAGCCUGAUUCAGCAACGCCGCGUGCGGGAUGACGGCCUUCGGGUUGUAAACCGCUUUCGCCUGUGACGAAGCGUGAGUGACGGUAAUGGGUAAAGAAGCACCGGCUAACUACGUG
rnacentral:rRNA from 1 species